rnacentral:rRNA from 1 species
AUUGAACGCUGGCGGCAUGCCUUACACAUGCAAGUCGAACGGCAGCGCGGGGCAACCUGGCGGCGAGUGGCGAACGGGUGAGUAAUAUAUCGGAACGUGCCCUGGAGUGGGGAUAACGUAGCGAAAGUUACGCUAAUACCGCAUACGAUCCAAGGAUGAAAGCAGGGGACCUUCGGGCCUUGUGCUCCUGGAGCGGCCGAUAUCUGAUUAGCUAGUUGGUGGGGUAAAAGCCUACCAAGGCGACGAUCAGUAGCUGGUCUGAGAGGACGACCAGCCACACUGGAACUGAGACACGGUCCAGACUCCUACGGGAGGCAGCAGUGGGGAAUUUUGGACAAUGGGGGGCAACCCUGAUCCAGCAAUGCCGCGUGUGUGAAGAAGGCCUUCGGUUGUAAGCACUUUGUCAGGAACGAAACGGUUAGAGGUUAAUACCUUGGCGUAAUGACGGUACCUGAAGAAUAAGACACCGG